rnacentral:rRNA from 1 species
GAGUUUGAUCCUGGCUCAGGACGAACGCUGGCGGCGUGCUUAACACAUGCAAGUCGAGCGAUGAAGUUUCUUCGGAAAUGGAUUAGCGGCGAACGGGUGAGGAACACGUGAAGAAUCUGCCCUCCACUUUGGGAUAACACCGGGAAACCGGUGCUAAUACCGAAUAUUGAAACAUAAGUGGCAUCACUGAGUUUUUAAAGAAUUUCGGUGGAGGAUGACUUCGCGGCCUAUCAGCUAGUUGGUGAGGUAAUGGCUCACCAAGGCAACGACGGGUAGCCGGCCUGAGAGGGCGACCGGCCACACUGGGACUGAGACACGGCCCAGACUCCUACGGGAGGCAGCAGUGGGGAAUAUUGGGCAAUGGAGGAAACUCUGACCCAGCGACGCCGCGUGCGGGAUGAAGGCCUUCGGGUUGUAAACCGCUUUCAGUAGGGAAGAAGCGAAAGUGACGGUACCUACAAAAGAAGCACCGGCUAACUAUGUGCCAGCAGCCGCGGUAAUACAUAGGGUGCAAGCGUUGUCCGGAAUUAUUGGGCGUAAAGAGCUCGUAGGUCGUUUGCCACGUCGGAUGUGAAAACCUGAGGCUCAACCUCAGGCCUGCAUUCGAUACGAGCAAACUAGAGUUUGGUAGGGGAGACUGGAAUUCCUGGUGUAGCGGUGGAAUGCGCAGAUAUCAGGAGGAACACCAACGGCGAAGGCAGGUCUCUGGGCCAAUACUGACACUGAGGAGCGAAAGUCUGGGGAGCGAACAGGAUUAGAUACCCUGGUAGUCCAGACCGUAAACGGUGGGCACUAGUUGUGGGAACCUUCCACGGUUUCUGCGACGCAGCUAACGCAUUAAGUGCCCCGCCUGGGGAGUACGAUCGCAAGAUUAAAACUCAAAGGAAUUGACGGGGCCCCGCACAAGCAGCGGAGCAUGCGGCUUAAUUCGACGCAACGCGAAGAACCUUACCAAGGCUUGACAUAUAGGGAAAAGUGGCAGAGAUGUCAUGUCCGCAAGGGCUCUAUACAGGUGGUGCAUGGUUGUCGUCAGCUCGUGUCGUGAGAUGUUGGGUUAAGUCCCGCAACGAGCGCAACCCAA